CAAGACCUCCACGGCCUUGUGUCAAGAAAUCUCCACAAAGUGACAGUGAAUGAUGGAGGGGGAGUUCUCAGAGUCAUUACAGCUGGGGAGGGUGCAUUGCCUCAUGAAUUCUUGGAAGGUGUGGAGGGAGUUGCAGGUGGUUUUAUAUAUACUAUUCAGGGACUGUGGAAACAACAAGCUUCAAUUUGUUGCUGAAGACAGAUGAUGACUGUUACAUAGACCUCGAAGCUGUAUUUAAUAGGAUUGUCCAAAAGAAUCUGGAUGGGCCUAAUUUUUGGUGGGGAAAUUUCAGACUGAAUUGGGCAGUUGACCGAA
rnacentral:sRNA from 1 species